UUAAGCGACUAAGCGUACACGGUGGAUGCCCUGGCAGUCAGAGGCGAUGAAGGACGUGCUAAUCUGCGAUAAGCGUCGGUAAGGUGAUAUGAACCGUUAUAACCGGCGAUUUCCGAAUGGGGAAACCCAGUGUGUUUCGACACACUAUCAUUAACUGAAUCCAUAGGUUAAUGAGGCGAACCGGGGGAACUGAAACAUCUAAGUACCCCGAGGAAAAGAAAUCAACCGAGAUUCCCCCAGUAGCGGCGAGCGAACGGGGAGCAGCCCAGAGCCUGAAUCAGUGUGUGUGUUAGUGGAAGCGUCUGGAAAGGCGUGCGAUACAGGGUGACAGCCCCGUACACAAAAAUGCACAUAUUGUGAGCUCGAUGAGUAGGGCGGGACACGUGGUAUCCUGUCUGAAUAUGGGGGGACCAUCCUCCAAGGCUAAAUACUCCUGACUGACCGAUAGUGAACCAGUACCGUGAGGGAAAGGCGAAAAGAACCCCGGCGAGGGGAGUGAAAAAGAACCUGAAACCGUGUACGUACAAGCAGUGGGAGCACGCUUAGGCGUGUGACUGCGUACCUUUUGUAUAAUGGGUCAGCGACUUAUAUUCUGUAGCAAGGUUAACCGAAUAGGGGAGCCGAAGGGAAACCGAGUCUUAACUGGGCGUUAAGUUGCAGGGUAUAGACCCGAAACCCGGUGAUCUAGCCAUGGGCAGGUUGAAGGUUGGGUAACACUAACUGGAGGACCGAACCGACUAAUGUUGAAAAAUUAGCGGAUGACUUGUGGCUGGGGGUGAAAGGCCAAUCAAACCGGGAGAUAGCUGGUUCUCCCCGAAAGCUAUUUAGGUAGCGCCUCGUGAAUUCAUCUCCGGGGGUAGAGCACUGUUUCGGCAAGGGGGUCAUCCCGACUUACCAACCCGAUGCAAACUGCGAAUACCGGAGAAUGUUAUCACGGGAGACACACGGCGGGUGCUAACGUCCGUCGUGAAGAGGGAAACAACCCAGACCGCCAGCUAAGGUCCCAAAGUCAUGGUUAAGUGGGAAACGAUGUGGGAAGGCCCAGACAGCCAGGAUGUUGGCUUAGAAGCAGCCAUCAUUUAAAGAAAGCGUAAUAGCUCACUGGUCGAGUCGGCCUGCGCGGAAGAUGUAACGGGGCUAAACCAUGCACCGAAGCUGCGGCAGCGACACUAUGUGUUGUUGGGUAGGGGAGCGUUCUGUAAGCCUGUGAAGGUGUACUGUGAGGUAUGCUGGAGGUAUCAGAAGUGCGAAUGCUGACAUAAGUAACGAUAAAGCGGGUGAAAAGCCCGCUCGCCGGAAGACCAAGGGUUCCUGUCCAACGUUAAUCGGGGCAGGGUGAGUCGACCCCUAAGGCGAGGCCGAAAGGCGUAGUCGAUGGGAAACAGGUUAAUAUUCCUGUACUUGGUGUUACUGCGAAGGGGGGACGGAGAAGGCUAUGUUGGCCGGGCGACGGUUGUCCCGGUUUAAGCGUGUAGGCUGGUUUUCCAGGCAAAUCCGGAAAAUCAAGGCUGAGGCGUGAUGACGAGGCACUACGGUGCUGAAGCAACAAAUGCCCUGCUUCCAGGAAAAGCCUCUAAGCAUCAGGUAACAUCAAAUCGUACCCCAAACCGACACAGGUGGUCAGGUAGAGAAUACCAAGGCGCUUGAGAGAACUCGGGUGAAGGAACUAGGCAAAAUGGUGCCGUAACUUCGGGAGAAGGCACGCUGAUAUGUAGGUGAAGCGACUUGCUCGUGGAGCUGAAAUCAGUCGAAGAUACCAGCUGGCUGCAACUGUUUAUUAAAAACACAGCACUGUGCAAACACGAAAGUGGACGUAUACGGUGUGACGCCUGCCCGGUGCCGGAAGGUUAAUUGAUGGGGUCAGCGCAAGCGAAGCUCUUGAUCGAAGCCCCGGUAAACGGCGGCCGUAACUAUAACGGUCCUAAGGUAGCGAAAUUCCUUGUCGGGUAAGUUCCGACCUGCACGAAUGGCGUAAUGAUGGCCAGGCUGUCUCCACCCGAGACUCAGUGAAAUUGAACUCGCUGUGAAGAUGCAGUGUACCCGCGGCAAGACGGAAAGACCCCGUGAACCUUUACUAUAGCUUGACACUGAACAUUGAGCCUUGAUGUGUAGGAUAGGUGGGAGGCUUUGAAGUGUGGACGCCAGUCUGCAUGGAGCCGACCUUGAAAUACCACCCUUUAAUGUUUGAUGUUCUAACGUUGACCCGUGAUCCGGGUUGCGGACAGUGUCUGGUGGGUAGUUUGACUGGGGCGGUCUCCUCCUAAAGAGUAACGGAGGAGCACGAAGGUUGGCUAAUCCUGGUCGGACAUCAGGAGGUUAGUGCAAUGGCAUAAGCCAGCUUGACUGCGAGCGUGACGGCGCGAGCAGGUGCGAAAGCAGGUCAUAGUGAUCCGGUGGUUCUGAAUGGAAGGGCCAUCGCUCAACGGAUAAAAGGUACUCCGGGGAUAACAGGCUGAUACCGCCCAAGAGUUCAUAUCGACGGCGGUGUUUGGCACCUCGAUGUCGGCUCAUCACAUCCUGGGGCUGAAGUAGGUCCCAAGGGUAUGGCUGUUCGCCAUUUAAAGUGGUACGCGAGCUGGGUUUAGAACGUCGUGAGACAGUUCGGUCCCUAUCUGCCGUGGGCGCUGGAGAACUGAGGGGGGCUGCUCCUAGUACGAGAGGACCGGAGUGGACGCAUCACUGGUGUUCGGGUUGUCAUGCCAAUGGCACUGCCCGGUAGCUAAAUGCGGAAGAGAUAAGUGCUGAAAGCAUCUAAGCACGAAACUUGCCCCGAGAUGAGUUCUCCCUGACUCCUUGAGAGUCCUGAAGGAACGUUGAAGACGACGACGUUGAUAGGCCGGGUGUGUAAGCGCAGCGAUGCGUUGAGCUAACCGGUACUAAUGAACCGUGAGGCUUAACCUU
rnacentral:rRNA from 1 species